rnacentral:rRNA from 1 species
AUUGAACGCUGGCGGCAUGCCUUACACAUGCAAGUCGAACGGCAGCGGGGGAGAAGCUUGCUUUUCCUGCCGGCGAGUGGCGAACGGGUGAGUAAUACAUCGGAACGUGCCCUGUAGUGGGGGAUAACUAGUCGAAAGAUUAGCUAAUACCGCAUACGACCUGAGGGUGAAAGUGGGGGACCGCAAGGCCUCAUGCUAUAGGAGCGGCCGAUGUCUGAUUAGCUAGUUGGUGGGGUAAAGGCCUACCAAGGCGACGGUCAGUAGCUGGUCUGAGAGGACGAGCAGCCACACUGGGACUGAGACACGGCCCAGACUCCUACGGGGGGCAGCAGUGGGGAAUUUUGGACAAUGGGCGAAAGCCUGAUCCAGCAAUGCCGCGUGUGUGAAGAAGGCCUUCGGGUUGUAAAGCGCUUUUGUCCGGAAAGAAAUGGCUCUGGUUAAUACCUGGGGUCGAUGACGGUACCGGAAGAAUAAGGACCGGCUAACUACGUGCCAGCAGCCGCAGUAA